rnacentral:lncRNA from 1 species
UCCCAACCCUACACUCUCCUUCUUUUCCUCACAUGGAAACCCCACAGCAAAAUUAAAGCCUUUGGUUUUAUUAGACCAUGCAUGUUUCGUGCCAUUUGAAUAUGGUGAUUUUUUCUUUUUCUUUUUCAUCAAUGGAUUAAACAGUUUGUGGGGUUUUCUUGAGUUUUUUUCAUUAAUUUUUUGACCCAGAUUGAUCUUUCAAUCUCUGUUCUCCUCCCUUUAUAUACCAUUCCUUAAUCAUGUUUCUCCCCACCAAUACCUUCACCUAUCUCUAUUUAUGAGUGUGUUUAUAUAUCUGCUUCCGACUUGAGGCUGUUCAGAGUUCAACCUUGAUUUGUUAAGAUUAUGAAUGAUAGGUACGAAAAUUGCAUUCCAUUUUCCGAGCCAAAAAAAAUACAAAAAUACAAAAAUUAUUGAUGUUUAUGAGCAUGUAGUCAUGUACAUACGUACAUAUAUACGUAUAUGCCUGGCUCCCUGUAUGCCAUUUGCAGAGUCCACCAGAAAAUCGAUGGCCCUCCGUGGAUGGCGUAUGAGGAGCCAAGCAUAUUCACAAAUCGUAUAUAUGAAUCCAAUUUUUUAGGCUUUCAUUUCUCAGUAUCCCAUAUUCUCAAUCCUCCUGCACAAUAUACACCAGGUAAAUAACUACUUUUCCCCCCACCCUGCCACAAUAUUUUUACAGUAUUUUGUAGUACAUAAUAUGCUUCAUUUUCUGGGAAAUGUUUCCAACUUUUCCAUGUGGGUUCUCUCAGAUCAUUUUAUAUGACACAGUUUCCGAUGAGGCAUCGAACAUAUGUGUGUAUAAAAAACAACAUAAAAGUUACAACCUCUGUUCUAUAGAACCUGAAUUGCAUGAAAAAUUAAUUUUUUCUUCAAAAUUCGGCAGUUUUGAUUGUAAUACAUAUCAAGAUGAAUCCCGGUUUCUGAUUCUUGGCAACAUUUGAAGACUGUUUAAUAUUUUUUUCCUGUUGCAUUGAUAAGAUCAAAUCCAGGUAGUCCACAGCCUUCCUGUCCUGUGUUUUUGUAGAGAAAACUGAAGCAGAUAUUUUCAGGUUCAUCUGCAUAAGAUUUAGGGGUGGGGUUUGAAGUUGGAGUAUAUGGGUUAUGAAGAAAGUAUAGACAGUGACGAUGGCUGCCAUAGCUAGAGAAUCUCAUGUACAAAUUGGACCACCCCACGCCUCUGUUGGUCAGUAAAGAAUAUAAUAUACGGUCAAAAAAGACAUAAAGAAAAGGGACCACCUUUACUAUCUCCUGAGACCAACUGGAUUUGGGAAGAUGCAAAAACUUUUAUCAACCAAACACUCACUUAUACCAAGGGACGGAAGGGGGAGAAAUUAAACCCUAGCCUACUAUGUCCAUGCAGAACAUUCCCCUGGAUAAUUCAGCUUUGUCUAAAAAGGAGAAAUUAGGAGCGUGGCUGCUUCACUUUUCUUUUAUAUUAAUAUGUUCAGGCUGUAUUUAAAGCAGAUUCUGUUCCCCAAACUUUAAUAUAUUGGACAAGCAAAUUUUGGAACGUGUUUGGUAAGUAAUACUUGAAUGUACAACAUGAAAUAGAUUCAAAAUUCUCUAAUCUAAGCUCAAUAUCCGGUUUCUAUCUUUUUCCUUUUUUUUUUUUCUUUUUUUUUUUCAAUUUAUUCUUGUAGGCACUCCUGGAGCAACAUCAGGGGAAAUAUAUGUUAUAUUACAUCUGAUUGUUAUUUUGGAAAUUAAUCAGUUUUUCUCUGAUUGGAGUCCUUGAUAGGAAGGAUGGUCUUUGUAUUUAAGAAUAUGCAACUUGUACAUAAUGCGGUGUCCACAUUAUCGAAGUGGGUCCCCUCCAUGUGGGCGGAGACACCGUUCUGGACACCCUGAUUUACGUGUGGUAUAACCCUUGUAUUUAUAAGAAGAAAUGAUGAAUAAAGGUCCAGUCUUAGCCACGUUAGACCAUCUUUAACAUACUCCCAAAAUUUAAGAUGCUCACUAUUUUUUACUGUCAAUAUUUAAAAAUUAGAAAUUUUAAAGUAGAUAG